rnacentral:rRNA from 1 species
AAUUUUGGACAAUGGGCGCAAGCCUGAUCCAGCCAUUCCGCGUGAGUGAAGAAGGCCUUCGGGUUGUAAAGCUCUUUCGCAAGGGAAGAAAGAUUACGCUCUAACAUAGCGUGAUUAUGACGGUACCUUGAUAAGAAGCACCGGCUAACUACGUGCCAGCAGCCGCGGUAAUACGUAGGGUGCGAGCGUUAAUCGGAAUUACUGGGCGUAAAGCGUGCGCAGGCUGUUUUGUAAGUCAGAUGUGAAAUCCCCGAGCUCAACUUGGGAACUGCGUUUGAAACUACAAGACUAGAAUAUGUCAGAGGGGGGUAGAAUUCCACGUGUAGCAGUGAAAUGCGUAGAGAUGUGGAGGAAUAUCAAUGGCGAAGGCAGCCCCCUGGGAUAAUAUUGACGCUCAUGCACGAAAGCGUGGGGAGCAAACAGGAUUAGAUACCCUGGUAGUCCACGCCCUAAACGAUGUCAACUAGUUGUUGGUAGAGUAAAAUCUAUGAGUAACGCAGCUAACGCGU